UAUUGGAUAAUGGGGUCAACCCUGAUCCAGCCAUGCCGCGCGUGUGAAGAAGGCCUUUCGGUUGUAAAGCACUUUAAGCAGUGGAGAAGACUCCAUGGUUAAUACCCAUGGACGAUGACAUUAGCUGCAGAAUAAGCACCGGCUAACUCUGUGCCAGCAGCCGCGGUAAUACAGAGGGUGCAAGCGUUAAUCGGAAUUACUGGGCGUAAAGCGAGCGUAGGUGGCUUGAUAAGUCAGAUGUGAAAUCACCGGGCUUAACCUGGGAACUGCAUCUGAUACUGUUAGGCUAGAAUAGGUGAGAGGAAGGUAGAAUUCCAGGUGUAGCGGUGAAAUGCGUAGAGAUCUGGAGGAAUACCGAUGGCGAAGGCAGCCUUCUGGCAUCAUAUUGACACUGCGGUUCGAAAGCGUGGGUAGCAAACAG
rnacentral:rRNA from 1 species